rnacentral:rRNA from 1 species
UACGAAGGGGGCUAGCGUUGUUCGGAAUUACUGGGCGUAAAGCGCGCGCAGGCGGCUAUCCAAGUCAGUGGUGAAAGCCCGGAGCUCAACUCCGGAACUGCCAUUGAAACUGUUUAGCUUGAGGAUGAGAGAGGUGAGUGGAAUUCCCAGUGUAGAGGUGAAAUGCGCAGAUAUCAGGAGGAACACCGAUUGCGAAGGCAGCUCGCUGGGACGUCACUGACGCUGAGACGCGAAAGCGUGGGGAGCAAACAGG